rnacentral:rRNA from 1 species
GAUGAACGCUGGCGGCGUGCCUAAUACAUGCAAGUCGAGCGAACAGACGAGGAGCUUGCUCCUCUGACGUUAGCGGCGGACGGGUGAGUAACACGUGGAUAACCUACCUAUAAGACUGGGAUAACUUCGGGAAACCGGAGCUAAUACCGGAUAAUAUAUUGAACCGCAUGGUUCAAUAGUGAAAGACGGUUUUGCUGUCACUUAUAGAUGGAUCCGCGCCGCAUUAGCUAGUUGGUAAGGUAACAGCAUACCAAGGCAACGAUGCGUAGCCGACCUGAGAGGGUGAUCGGCCACACUGGAACUGAGACACGGUCCAGACUCCUACGGGAGGCAGCAGUAGGGAAUCUUCCGCAAUGGGCGAAAGCCUGACGGAGCAACGCCGCGUGAGUGAUGAAGGUCUUCGGAUCGUAAAACUCUGUUAUUAGGGAAGAACAAAUGUGUAAGUAACUAUGCACGUCUUGACGGUACCUAAUCAGAAAGCCACGGCUAACUACGUG